UUCAGGUGGUGUAUCGGCUAGCAUCGUCCGCUUUCAAGCAAAGCAUGAUCCGGACAGAGCCGGGUUCGACUCCCGGCGCUGGAA